rnacentral:rRNA from 1 species
GACAUAGGUCGCAAACGUUAUCCGGAAUUAUUGGGCGUAAAGGGUGCGUAGAUGGUAGGAUAAGUUAUCAGUGGUAAAUCGAGGCUCAACCUCGUGGAAGCUGAUAAUACUGUUCCACUUGAGUGCAGAAGAGGUUAACGGAACUCCCUGUGGAGCGGUGAAAUGUGUCGAUAUAGGGAAGAACACCAACGGCGAAGGCAGCUCGCUGGGACGGUACUGACGCUGAGACGCGAAAGCGUGGGGAGCGAACAGG